GACGAACGCUGGCGGCGUGCUUAACACAUGCAAGUCGAACGAUGAAGCUGGAGCUUGCUCUUAUGAAGUUAGCGGCGGACGGGUGAGUAACACGUGGGUAACCUGCCCAUAAGACUGGGAUAACUCCGGGAAACCGGGGCUAAUACAGGAUAACAUUUUGAACCGCAUGGUUCGAAAUUGAAAGGCGGCUUCGGCUGUCACUUAUGGAUGGACCCGCGUCGCAUUAGCUAGUUGGUGAGGUAACGGCUCACCAAGGCAACGAUGCGUAGCCGACCUGGUAGGGUGAACGGCCACACUGGGACUGAGACACGGCCCAGACUCCUACGGGAGGCAGCAGUAGGGAAUCUUCCGCAAUGGACGAAAGUCUGACGGAGCAACGCCGCGUGAGUGAUGAAGGCUUUCGGGUCGUAAAACUCUGUUGUUAGGGAAGAACAAGUGCUAGUUGAAUAAGCUGGCACCUUGACGGUACCUAACCAGAAAGCCACGGCUAACUACGUGCCAGCAGCCGCCGUAA
rnacentral:rRNA from 1 species